rnacentral:rRNA from 1 species
UACGGAGGGGGCGAGCGUUAUUCGGAAUUAUUGGGCGUAAAGGGCGCGUAGGCGGCCCUGCAAGUCAAAGGUGAAAUCCCUCGGCUCAACUGAGGAACUGCCUUUGAAACUGCGGGGCUUGAGGCCGGGAGGGGGUAGCGGAAUUCCCAGUGUAGCGGUGAAAUGCGUAGAUAUUGGGAGGAACACCAGUGGCGAAGGCGGCUACCUGGACCGGUUCUGACGCUGAUGCGCGAAAGCGUGGGUAGCAAACGGG